rnacentral:rRNA from 1 species
UACGGAGGGGGGCUAGCGUUGUUCGGAAUUACUGGGCGUAAAGCGCGCGUAGGCGGAUCUGCAAGUCGGGGGUGAAAUCCCGAGGCUCAACCUCGGAACUGCCUUCGAUACUGCGGGUCUCGAGUCCGGGAGAGGUGAGUGGAAUUCCGUAGUGUAGAGGUGAAAUCCGUAGAUAUUAGGAAGAACACCAGUGGCGAAGGCGGCUCACUGGCCCGGUACUGACGCUGAGACGCGAAAGCGUGGGGAGCGAACAGG